ensembl:rRNA 5S_rRNA 5S ribosomal RNA
GUCUACAGUCAUACCACCCUCAACGUGCCCGGUCUCGGAAGCUAAGCAGGGUCGAGCCUGGUUAGUACUUGGAUGGGAAGAAAGACAAAAGUUUUUAAAGGAAAAAAAUUAGGUGCAUUACAUC